AGUGAACGCUGGCGGUAUGCCUAACACAUGCGAGUCGAACGGCAGCACAGUAAGAGCUUGCUCUUACGGGUGGCGAGUGGCGGACGGGUGAGGAAUACAUCGGAAUCUACUUUUUCGUGGGGGAUAACGUAGGGAAACUUACGCUAAUACCGCAUACGACCUACGGGUGAAAGCAGGGGAUCUUCGGACCUUUCGCGAUUGAAUGAGCCGAUGUCGGAUUAGCUAGUUGGCGGGGUAAAGGCCCACCAAGGCGACGAUCCGUAGCUGGUCUGAGAGGAUGAUCAGCCACACUGGAACUGAGACACGGUCCAGACUCCUACGGGAGGCAGCAGUGGGGAAUAUUGGACAAUGGGCGCAAGCCUGAUCCAGCCAUACCGCGUGGGUGAAGAAGGCCUUCGGGUUGUAAAGCCCUUUUGUUGGGAAAGAAAAGCAGCAGGUUAAUACCCCGCUGUUCUGACGGUACCCAAAGAAUAAGCACCGGCUAACUUCGUG
rnacentral:rRNA from 1 species